rnacentral:lncRNA from 1 species
GAGUAUUAGAGUCCUCCUGAAAGGGAAAGGAAUUUAAAACUUUAACCAUAACAAAGUUCUUUAAAAUAACUUAGAGCAAAUGAAAGUCCUAAGAAGACUAGGCUGCAACAUCGUCAUUCCCAUCCAAGGCUAUCUCCAAAGUAACCUCCUCUCAUCUGCUCCCAAAUAAGUGGAUGAUUAUCGCAAAAGAAAACAUACGCAAACAUGGCACAAAC